rnacentral:rRNA from 1 species
AUUGAACGCUGGCGGCAGGCCUAACACAUGCAAGUCGAACGGUAACAGGAAGAAGCUUUCUUCUUUGCUGACGCGUGGCGGACGGGUGUGUAAUGUCUGGGAAACUGCCUGAUGGAGGGGGAUAACUCCUGGAAACGGUAGCUAAUACACCAUAACGUCGCAAGACCAAAGAGGGGGAGCUUCUGGCCCCUUGCCCUCGGAUGUGCCGAGAUGGGGUUAGCGAGAAGGCGGGGUAACGGCCCACCAAGGCGACGAUCCGUAGCUGGUCUGAGAGGAUGAUCAGCCACACUGGAACUGAGACACGGUCCAGACUCCUACGGGAGGCAGCAGUGGGGAAUAUUGGACAAUGGGCGCAAGCCUGAUCCAGCCAUACCGCGUGGGUGAAGAAGGCCUUCGGGUUGUAAAGCCCUUUUGUUGGGAAAGAAAAGCAGCAGGUUAAUACCCCGCUGUUCUGACGGUACCCAAAGAAUAAGCACCGGCUAACUUCGUG